AUUGAACGCUGGCGGAAUGCUUUACACAUGCAAGUCGAGCGGCAGCGCGGGGCAACCUGGCGGCGAGCGGCGAACGGGUGAGUAAUACAUCGGAACGUGCCCAGACGUGGGGGAUAACUACUCGAAAGAGUGGCUAAUACCGCAUACGAUCUACGGAUGAAAGCGGGGGAUCGCAAGACCUCGCGCGUCUGGAGCGGCUGAUGGCAGAUUAGGUAGUUGGUGGGAUAAAAGCCUACCAAGCCAACGAUCUGUAGCUGGUCUGAGAGGAUGAUCAGCCACACUGGGACUGACACACGGGCCAGACUCCUACGGGAGCAGCAGUGAGGAAUAUUGGUCAAUGGGCAAAGCCUGAACCAGCAACGCCGCGUGAGGGAUGAAGGCCUUCGGGUCGUAAACCUCUUUUCUGGGAGAAGAGACAAGGACGGUAUCCCAGGAUAAGUCUCGGCUAACUACGUGCCAGCAGCCGCGGUAAUUAGCGUA
rnacentral:rRNA from 1 species